AUUGAACGCCGGCGGCAGGCUUAACACAUGCAAGUCGAGCGGAGAUGAGGUGCUUGCACCUUAUCUUAGCGGCGGACGGGUGAGUAAUGCUUAGGAAUCUGCCUAUUAGUGGGGGACAACAUUCCGAAAGGAAUGCUAAUACUGCAUACGUCCUACGGGAGAAAGCAGGGGAUCUUCGGACCUUGCGCUAAUAGAUGAGCCUAAGUCGGAUUAGCUAGUUGGUGGGGUAAAGGCCUACCAAGGCGGCGAUCUGUAGCGGGUCGGAGAGGAUGAUCCGCUACACUGGGACUGAGACACGGCCCAGACUCCUACGGGAGGCAGCAGUGGGGAAUAUUGGACAAUGGGGGGAACCCUGAUCCAGCCAUGCCGCGUGUGUGAAGAAGGCCUUAUGGUUGUAAAGCACUUUAAGCGAGGAGGAGGCUACUGAGACUAAUACUCUUGGAUAGUGGACGUUACUCGCAGAAUAAGCACCGGCUAACUCUGUGCCAGCAGCCGCCGUAA
rnacentral:rRNA from 1 species